UUGUCUGUUGUGUUCAGAAAC
rnacentral:piRNA from 1 species